GACCGCUUAGCUCAGUUGGCUAGAGCAUUUCAUUGACAUUGAAAAGGUCAGUGGUUCAAGUCCACUAGCGGUCACCA
rnacentral:tRNA from 1 species